ensembl:lncRNA
AUAGUGCGCAUAGAGCUUGAGAAAUGAUAUUUAGGAGACAUGAGUGCCCUGCAGAGAAAGAGAACGGAGAGGAUUAGAGUGCGUCUCUGAAGUGGCUUUGACUCCCCUACUGAUGGAGAGUAAUUAAAGCAACCUACUGUGUUGUCGAUGGAGCUAAAGAGAGAUAGUAAUGAAACAUCGCAGCUCACAGGAGUUCCGGCCUGCAGCACCUUAAUUUGGCCUAAAGCGCCGAUUAGCAGCACACUCACUAUGUGGGUUGUUCCUGAACGGAGAACUUGGUGAUCAUAGGCUCCUUUUGAACAUUUAUGAUCAGAUGGGACGUCAGGCAACAGUACACAUUACCUCUCCCCUCCAAUUACAACCCUGCUCAAAGAACUGAAUGAACAUAAACUAUCACAGUUAUCUCACUACUUCCACAAUUACAAGUCUUGACUCCUCCCCGUUGACCGACUCCUCCAAUCUUCCUUUAAGAUUGGAAGAGUCCGCCUGCAUUUUGAAACAUGCCAACGGACUCAACAAAGUGUAUCUCCCAUAUAGCAUUGAAUAACAUGCAUAACUGACUUGCCACUGAGGGUCACAUCAGCUUUUCCAAAAGCCAAAACAACUCUAAGCCCAUCUGACCGACACCUACUGUAUACUAUUAGGAUAUGAAUGUCAGGUCAUUUAGGCUAUUUAAGUGUCCUCAUGUAGCUGUUGUGUUGGACUUCUGUGUUCAUACAAAUCAUUUUAUGGGUCACACUACAAUGUAUAAACUUACACUUUGUUAAACACAACUAUAAUUGAUCAUUUCCGAGGAUCAGUGAAUGCAACAACUAAGCAGAGUUGUUUCUUUCUUUGUAAUAAUACUUGCAUGAGGGCUUUUGUUACAGAGAUCAAUCCCUCAGGCGGCUGAAGGCUAACAACAUGUUUACCGGAGGGAGAACAGGAGGGAGGUGCCACUCUAUGGGAGAGUGACUACGUUCAUAUACUGUACUUAGGUAGACAUUAUUCUGCUUUCUUUACAAAAAUAAAAGUUUACUGCUUCCUGUGGGAAACCUUUUAAGUCAACAACAUCUAAUUUUAUUUGAGUUGAGUACAAUAUUACUAUCUGAAGUUUGAAAUGCACACAAAAACAUUUUCAUACAUUUAUUCAAAUGUAUUCAUCCUCAGUGAGAAGAAAUCCUUACGUUCCAUAUUCAUCAGGAUCAGUCAUUACUAAUCACGUUUGCACUUUCGACCCCCUCCCCCCGCCCUCCGCCAAAAGAAAAACAACAACACACAGACACUUGUGGUACUGAAUGUAUCACAAUGGCCUGAUACGUCUACAACGUAUCGUUCUUUAGGCUGACAGUAAAGCAUCAUAACAUAUGAGGAGACGGAGGCUACUUCCCUCCUUUUAUUGCACAUUAUAGCUCACACACACAGCCAAAAUGUGUCUUCCUCACAUGUAUGAAUGACAGGUUCCACGGAGGCGAACUCUGCCGGACGUCUCUUGUGUGGAGCGGUUUCAACAUCAACGCGGUAACAGUGAAACGGGUUUCACAGGUUAGACUAUGGUCUGGUUCCAGUUGCCAUCUCAUCAGCAGCGGUUGGGUUCGGAGGCUGUUCAGAGUGUCUUAUAGCAGACAGGAGCUGGUUAAUGCUCACUCUGCCAAGACACAUGUGGAUUAGGGAUCAUCUUAAUGUUAAUUCCCAAGCUUCUGCAAAAGUUGGGUGGUACAGAGAGAGCAAAGGUGAAGGAGUCAGCAGUUGUUAAAUUAAGCAUGGAGUGAAUACAUUAUGAUCUAUUAAGGCAGGGAAACAUGUCUUAAAUAUGGGGGUAUUUAGCACACAGAUGCAAAAUGGUAAAAAGUAUCUCAAAGCCCCCCCGCAGUGGGCCCAGCAGGGGGCGAUAUGAAGAGGAUGGAUUUUUUGAAGAGGGCCAUUCCGACGCUUUUUGAAUUUGCGAUUUCAGCAUUUGGGUCAAACUUUACCUCGGGUCCUGAAACCAUCUGCUCCUGGGACGCAGUCCAAGGCCACGGGGCAGGCUUGUGGUAUAGCAGGCAAGACGCCGGCGCCAUCUCAGGCCCUAUGAAGAGGCCCCACAGAGCUCUGAAUACUCCUGUGAUCUCACCCCACCCCGUGUUUCAGGUGUUUUCCCUUUUUAGCCGCAUCCUCCAGGGAGCCAGCUUUAAAAUGGAUGAUUGCCUGCGACUGUUAAUCCCGCUCUUAUCAAGCUGCGAAUGAUGAAUUAGGAGCGUCAGCUCCUGGCUCACCUUUGUUGUCAUUUGAACAGAAUCAAAGCUUUAAAUCACAGAGCUGCACCUGGUAAUGGGAGGGGGGAUGGCGUUCUAAUACUGUGUGUGACAGAGCCGCAUCGCUUCCAGCUGAUUUAAUAAGUCCAGAAGGAGGGGGGGGGGAGGCACAGGGAUAAAUGAAAAUUUGAGCAAGAUUUUAAAAUAUAUUAAUGCAGGAUGAAAUGGCAGUUGCCCUCAUUUCUCUUUGUUUUGAGCUCCUUUAGCUUGCUGUGUUAUUCAAUUCGGCUGAAUUUGAGCUGUCAGUCAUUCCGGUUUUUGGUGCGGUUCGUAUUAAUGCAGCACUGUGUGCGCUCAGAGCACGUUACUUGCUCCCCCUUUUCCUGUUGAGGCCAAUGGGAAUUCAAUUCCUCUUUUUAAGAUCAGAACAACUUGCAGAUGUUUUGGACAAAUUCCCACUGGGAAAGGCCGUGUUCUAAUCGCGGUUGAUUUGUGUAGAGGCAGAGCAUGUGCAGCACAGAGAACGUGCUCUGCCAGGACAUUCACUCCCAGCACAGCUGAGCGUCUGCAGCACCCUUUGCUACCACAACAAUAGCAGGUUGUGCUGCUUUUAUAAAACUGCUGAUCUGAUACAAAAUGUCUUUUUUUACUGACUGUAUUUCAUAUUGAGGCAGAGCAGUGCAGAAAUGGAACAUGACAAAACAAAUCAACCCGAGCUUUUUCUGCGUAUAUGUUUGCAUAUUUUAAUGAAAUUAAAUUUAUGAGUUUAUUUAUGAGCAACAUUUAAGCAGCUAACCUCUCUUGUUUAUUUACUGCUGCUGUGUAUUUAUCAUAAAACAUGCGUGUAAUUAAGUAGCUGCUUUAAUGAGAAAAGAAAAUUCAACUAUAUUAUUAAAAUAAUUUUCCCACUUUUAUUUCUGUAAAUUCCCACAUCAAAGCAGCUCAUUACAAUUUGUUAAUUCAACCUAGAAUAAUUUAACCUCACUUCAAAAUGCAGCAAAUGAGACUAGAAACCUAGUCCCUAGUUCAUUGAAAUAUGGAUUACACUUCAGCAGCCUAGUUUUCUGCAACAUCUGAGGCAGCAAAAGGUUAUUUUUCACUUUCUAAAUGAUAUUACUAUUCCCCUGUACCCAUCCUCUAUAUUAUUGCUAUUUUCUUUUCUAUUCUCUGACUCUUAUUUUUUUUGAAGACCCUCAAGGUCUGCAAAGCACUCAGCCAGCUCAAUCCAUACCCUUCAAGUAGCAUGGAGACCACUCUGCUUUAAGUCCGUAAAUGCUGCAGAGAAAUAUGUGAAAAGACAGUUAUGUUGCAGUGAAUAUUAAUGUUCCUUUGAGUGCUUGCUCUGUGGUAAACAGAAGGAUUGAGUUGACAUGUAGCCAAAGACAUAAUUUAAAUCUAGGGAGGUCACAGGAAACAUUAGCAAAUUAUCUACCCAAUGCCUUCCAAGAUCUCUGGGCAGAUAAUGGAAAAGCCAAUCUAUUUGGCUGAUCGCUAUCUUAUCGGGAUAGGCUGAGAAAAGCUCACGGUAAUUUCGCUUGAUAUGAGAGAAGAUUUUCCUUCACUUUGAGAUUAGGUCUGCCUCAGGGGUCUGUGCUAUAAUUGUAAGCGCCUAACAAGGUGAAACAUUGGUGGAAUCCAUAACUAUAUUUUUCAUGAAACAUACAUACUCAUUUGUGGGAGUAAAUGUGCAUUUUCCGUGGAGGCUUGUUUCGAAAAAGUGGGGCAAUUUUUGCCAAUGUUUCAUGCAAUGUAACAUAUUAAAUCCAAUACUGGUAAGUUUUCUAGUUAUGUAUGCCUAGAUUUCUAUUUUUCCUUUAGUGUUUUUUUCUCUGCAAAAGCUAACGCCAGCUGUGGGACCAUAGUGCCACGGUGCUAGCACGGCUAAAAUAACAAAUAUCCAAAACAGAUGUGCAGGCAGGCAGAUAGACGGAUGGAUGGAUGAGAGGAGGGACGAAUCAUUUAUUUAAUCAUAAUGUUAUCCAAGAUGCGUCCAAAAUAUUGUACCACUCAGCCUAAAUGAUGCUUUUCUGCCAUUAUUGUGUCAUUUGCGGCGCUAAAUGUUUGCACUUGAUGUUGGUACCGCGGUCAUCUGUGACCUUAAAGAUUGGGAAUGAGCCAUCAGUGAACUUGAAGCCAUCUGUCGCACAUCUGCAGACCGUAAGUCUGUUUACUCAGAGGAAAGAGCAGAGCGAAGAGUGAGACGGAGAGACAGAGACAGACAGAGGGGCGAGUCUUACCGUAAUCUUCUGUCUAUCCAGUCAGAUUCCAUCAGACUGCUUCUGCCCCAUAUUGCUCUGCCCUCUGAGGCUUUGUUUUAGCUAUAGGCCCAGCUGAGCUACCUUCAGAAAAGGUGGUCAAUCUCGACGGGAAUGAGUUCUGACAGCUGUGGCUACAAAGUGGAAACAGAUCCGAGGCCUCUGGAAUUCCACAGCUCUCUGGAGCCAAAUCAGCUGUCCUUUACACCUAUUGAUCCAAGACAAUUGAUUCUUCCGCAGAUUUAAUUUGCUUUCUGGUGUCUGAUUAGUAAUGAUUUACAGAGCCCUUUGUUCUCCAAGUGAAAACUAUCCUUUUUGAGGAAUUAUCAAUUCUUUUCUGUGGCCUUUCAUUUAUGACCCUUAAAGGUGAAUAGGUUAUGAUCCCAUCCUCCAAAAUUAGAAUGUUCUGUUAUCUAGUGGUCAGUGGGAAUCAGAGGGGCUUUUUUUUUUACCUCACCAGAGUAAAUCUAGAAGCCGAGGUCAUCAACCCAUUAAGGAAAGACGGGCUGCUAUAUCUUUAAACUAUGGACAACUACACUGGUUUAAAAAACAUUGGUAUAAUUUACUAUAUUAAUCAAUGGAUAUACAUGCAAUAUUCCUUGACGAAAGUAAUUGGUAAUAUUGAUUCCAUUCUACUUACUACAUUGCUACUAGAUAAUGUAGGUGUUCAUGUAUAAUGAACUACAGCACUGCACUUAAGAGAAAGCGGUGUCAAGGAGUUUCCGUAGCGUCAGUAGAAUAGAUUCGAUGCACUUCGAUCCAUUUUUUCCACCAACUUUUGUAAACACAAAUGCACCGCAAUAAAACUUAGACACUCGAGUCAACAAUCACAGUAUUCAACCAACAAUUCUGAAGGGUGUUGCACAGUCAGAUCGGCAGUAAAUGAUAGACGUUUUUAAGAAUAUGGGUAAAAGUGCCUGCCCUGCCUGCUAUUCUUCUUCAGUCGGUGUAACUUCCUCCCACCAUGCGGUGCAGAGAGCGCUCUGGGGUCACAGCUGCAGCGUGCGGGGGAUGUCGGUGCACGCCGGUUGGAAACAUGGCCCCUAAGAGGAGAGGUUUUGUUGAAAAAGAUUUAGAGAUUCUCCCCUGCAGUCAGGAUGGAGGGCAGGAAGCGAAACCUGCACCAAAGCAUCACAGCUGGAGGCCGUGACCCACUCCUGCUGCAUCUUUCUGUGGUGUUUACAUCCCAGUAAUAAAACAUGAGAACGACUUGCACGAAAAACAAAGUAUCCCCUUGCAAACUGGAGGACAAAGGUUCUGCAAAGCUUUUAGGGUAACCAUGUUAACAUGAUGACGGAUGAUUCAGGAACAUCUUGCGAGAGUAAGAGGUCACAUACUGCAAGAGUUUAGCAGAUUGCAUUAAAUAUAUUUAUUGAGUUGAUAGGAAAUUAGUGAAAUGUGCAUUAUUUAUGGCCCUGGAAUCAUGAGAUGUUUGGAAUCAUGUUUACAUGCGCGAUUAGGCUGAUAGUUGUCUCGACUGUUGGUCUGACAUGUCCUCGGAAAUUAACACUACAAGUACACAAGAUGUAAUACACACAUGACUAAUAUGGGCAGUAUGAGGAUGUGACACGUUGAGUUAACUUACAUGAGGCCAUCACUUUUUCUGCUGUGAUCUCAGACAGCAGUAACCUCCUUGAGGGCUGUCAUGAUUAUUGUUUACAUCACGUCUUUUUCCCCUUCUUUUGCUCUGAAGGGAGACACACUGGCUCUUUGCCCUUUCUUCCAGUCUCAAUGCUAAAUUAGGAAAUAUGUUCAUUUGAGUUCUCGAAGUGAUGAAUUCCUUUUUGUUAAAUAUUUCAUACAGUGAUGUAAAAGCUUUGCAAAAUGUAGUGUUAUUUCAUGACAUUAAACAGAAACAUUGAAAAAUGGACAGUGUUAAUGUUAUUACUCUCAGGAUCAGUGAACAUAAGGUCCUCUUCUACAGAGUGUUAAAGUUACUCUGGAAAGAGUGCUAUAUUUUCAGAGUCAAUUCUACUCUGGUUAGAGUUAAUUUUAUAGUAUAGUUGACACCAGACUGAGAAGUGUUACUCAAAUUUGACACUAUGAUGUGAAUAGUCAAAAACCCAUUUUAAUGUCAACUCUGAGACCUUCUUGACAAGUGUUAAUAUAAUAUAUAAUAAUAUAUUUAUUUAUAUAAUAUAUUUACUGUAUUUACUCCCUGUAUUUACCCACAAUACGGAAAUCGUGUCUCAAAGUGCGUCAUUCCGUGGGGGAGAUCGAGAUUGUGCCUCAGAUGCUGACUUUGCACAAUGGAAUUACACACAAGUCAUUGUAAUAUGACGUCAAAACAGGGAUGAACAGUGAACGCAUGUGUGUGCUGACUGUCACAUUAAAAUGUUUACAUUUUAGAAAAUUAACGUUUAAAGAUGGAAAAAACAAAACCAGUCAAUAUUUACUCACCAAAUAUUUGUUUUUUGUUUUUUUUACAAAAAACAGUAAAACAUUAUUUAAAAUGACCUCUCAUGGAAAAAAGCCUAGAAGACGUUCAAAUCAGAGAGUUAAACAUACAGAUUAUACCCAUAAUUGUAAAUCAUAUAUUUUGGCGCUGUCACGUGGCAGCAAAGUGCGGUCCCAUUAAAAUUUACACCGUUUCCAAUCCAGACUCUCUCAUUCACCAGAAGACGUCGGUUAAGGGUUCAGGGUUAAGGGGGGACAUUGGGAUCGAGAUUGUCCUUCGUCUUGUAGCAUUAAACAUCUUCAUUAACACUGGGGGGCGUUUCACUUUAAAACACUAUAUUUUACACUAAACAUUUUACCUCUGAAUAUUUUUACCAACAUUGGAGGAAAUAUUGUUUGAAGUUUUAUAUGGAUAAUGAAACUCUAUAUACACGUGCUCAAGUGCUCAUUCAAUAAAGUCAGAUUAUAUUGGGUUAAGGAUAAAUAUUUAAUCAAGUGAUAUACUAAGAAAAUAAUUAACACUAUCUUUAAUCAUUUUAUAUUAUAUAUUAAGUUAGAAUUCAUAUUCUUAAUGUAUCAACAACACAAUGUUUGCAUUAAAAAAGUGUGCGAGUGACUGCGUAAUUAACCCCUCGCCCAAUUCCGUAUUACAAAAGCCUCCACGCAGCUCCGACAAAUGUGACAAUCAGAGCGGGGACACUUAUUUUGAAGCGAGUCGGCGCAACAUGGAACCUUCCAGCAGCAUCGACUCAAAUCCAGCCAGUGCAAACCCUCGCACCCCGUCUCUGAAGCUCGUUUUCUCUAACCAGUUCAGCGUUAGUGGGACAAAAUUUAGCGAGUCAACAUGAGCCAAAUGUUGACAAAAAAGCCAAUAUUACAGUCAGCAUUCCCUUGUUCCAUCACAGUACAGUAAUACCACUCAGUUGGUACAAAACAUGUCCAAGUGUGCAGUUACUCUUCAACUACCAGUACGUCACAUUUCCAUGUGGGGUUCGGCUGAGGGGAAAUAAAGGAACGUCGCGUAACCUUUGGUGCAGAAAGUCGAAUGUUUGCCUCGAGUCAUUUGACUGCCAACAGACGUGAAGACUCGGGGGAAAUGAGGUGUGACACACGGGCCCACACACGCCAUGUUGUGGCAGUUGUUGCUUUGAUGAUCUUGCGAGCUUAUGGGUCUCCAGGUGAAACGCUCCCUCCUUGUCCCAGACGUUGACUGUAAAUAUCCUUCUGUUGUCUACACCAUACAACUAGGGGAUUGACUUUUCCUUCGCACCCUUUUCAUGUUAUUUCCCCUUUUGUGUUAUUCACAGUCUUCCCGAGAACCUUCCUUUAUUUGUUGCAUUUCAAAGCAACGGCGCAGUAGAUCAUUAUCCUCUGUUUUGUGUGUUCUGGACUGUCUGCAUGGAACAAUGGGCGGAGAUUUCUCUAUGAUUAUCUGAUAAUUGAUUAUCAUGUUUGAGCUUCAGUACAAUACAAUACAAGCUCCAUUGGCCAACCGACUUCACCGUGACCCCACACCUGGCCUCAUGGUAGGAUACCAAACGGAGCCUUGAUCAGCUCAAUCCCAGAUUAAAAUCAUGUGAAGCACAGCGUUUGGUGAAAACAAACUGUUCGUGAGUACCCAAAAAUCAAAGGCCACCUGUUCCGCCUGGUAUGAAAGAUCAUGUGAAGUGACAUUGGUAAUAAAACCAAUUUGCUUUCAAUCAGAUAGAACAUCUUGUGCCUCGGUGUUUUCAGCAGCAGGCCUUGAUUAUUGCUCUGCCCUCGCCUUCAAAGAAAGCUUCAAUAACCGAGGCUCCCUCGCAGGUGUCAAGAGCACAAUGCAAUCCGAACACACACUGUCACAUUCUCCUUUUUCUGUCAAAUAAUUACUCUCUGUCUUUGCACUUUGUUUGCCAUCAAAAAACAUCAAGCGGGGGCCCGCAUGUUGUUUUCCGGCUUCUGUUUGUUUUCGUAUAUGAGAUUGUGUGCAUUUUGUGUGCACAGUGGGUGUGCACUCAAACACAAGCUGAGGACGGCUUGUAAGGGUUCAAUUGAUUUCUGUCAAAAAUAAAGCAAGUCGAGGCCGCGCCGAGACAGCAGGUGGAUAUUCCUGUUAAUGGCAGCGAGGCCGAGCCAGACUCCACUGAGACACCUGGCGUGAGUGUAGUGCUCUUAAGGUCAGUGUGUGUGUGUGUGUGUGUGUGUACUCUGCAUGGUGAGCUCGGCCACAGCAUGAUGUUUGAUAUAGUGAAAGUUUCCUCACAUUGUAUUUAAUAAAUAAAAGACAAGUAGAUCAGUAUAUAAGAUGACUUUGCUGCUUUAUGAUGAUGUUAGCAAACCCCCUUCCGGUUAGUUGUUUGUAUUCUGUCUUGCUGACUCAUACACAUCUGCAUCAUUAUCAGUAAACUAGCCGGCCGAUCUAAAUUUCACACAGCGCUUCCAGAUGAUUUUUAUGAACGCGUUUGGUUUUCCUGUCGUAUCAGGGACAACAUUUACAAAGCAGCAAUAGGAGUUGCUCUCCAUGUUGGAUAAAACCUGGUUGGUGUCUACAUGGAGUUCAGCCUCCCUUCCUCUACAAUAUCCAACAAGAGCAUAUAAAAAUGACCCCAUUAGCAAGUUGCUCACCUGGGUACGUUUCUAGCAGACUUCUUGAAAAGAAAGGGGCCUGGUACCAAAGGCGAGUGUAGUCGAACACUGCGUGGGACCGGUGUGGUUCCUGCGUGGUUCCUGCGUGGUUUCUGCGUGGGUCCUGCGUGGGUCCUGCGUGGUUCCUGCGUGGGUCCUGCGUGGGUCCUGCGUGGGUCCUGCGUGGGUCCAGCGUGGUUACUGCGUGGAUCCUGCGUGGGUCCUGCGUGGGUCCUGCGUGGUUCCGGCGUGGUUCCUGCGUGGGUCCUGCGUGGGUCAUGCGUGGUUCCUGCGUGGGUCCUGCGUGGUUCCUGCGUGGUCCUGCGUGGGUCCUGCGUGGUUCCUGCGUGGUUCCUGCGUGGGUCCUGCGUGGGUCCUGCGUGGGUCCGAUGUGGUUCCUGCGUGGGUCCUGCGUGGGUCCUGCGUGGUUCCCUGCGUGGGUCCUGCGUGGGUCCUGUCUGAGUGCAGCGGAACUUCUUCCUGCCUCCACCCACACUUUUCUCCUCUUUCUCCCUUUCCCUCUGCUGUGCUGUGAUGGUUGUGGCCGGAUGUCCUCUCACCUCCCCUUCCCCAGAGGGCCUUUUCCCUUAUUCAGUUCCCCCCCUUAUCUGCCACAUCAAAGGAUCUCAUUACAAGCUGUGACACCAGCCCCACCCUGAGCCAACCUGUUCCCACCAUCACAUUUAAAUAGCUUCACAUUGUAUUCAUAAUGGCUAAUGUCAUGCACUGCGGUCUCUGAUGUCUUGCAGAUUCGCCUUCCCCUUUUCCUUUCUACUUCUCUCCCCCUGUUUCAAUCCCACAUGCCCGACAGACGCCCCUCUAUGAAAUUCUCUUUUAUUUAUGGCUUGUUUUUCUUUUUAUAAGGCAGCUGUGUAGACCAAAGUCACUCGCCUCGUUUGAUGUGUACAUCUCUCAUCUGUGAUUACAAAGUGAAUCUUUAAAAAAAAAAGGGACAGGCUCUUAAGUGAAACGACUGGAGUGAAGCCUCCUUAGUGAAGAUCAUUCUCCGCACAUUUUAUCCGCUUUCUCUCCAUUUACAGCGCACACUGUGAUGUGUGUCUGAGGUCCUUUCUGAAGACGUCCCGCGCCCUUUUCCAGCUGACAAAAUGCCCUGAUUUAUCAAUCCCAGACAGGUUCUCUACCCGCUCAGCUCAGGAGUCCCAGACUCGCGGCCGAGGACGUGAUUAACAGGAGUAGGGGUCCCACUCUUGUCGCUUGCUGCUCUCAUUUACCGGCUUAAUUUAUUUACUAAACAGAGCGGUGCUUUUGGCUUGGCGCCGCUCUUGUUCCCGCUAACAACCUCCACGCCGGCGCGGCCUGUUAAAGAACAGAGCGGAGCUUUCCUCGUGUGUCGUAAAUAAUCUCCGUGGCAGACUUUACCGGGGCCACUGAGCACAGCCGGAGAUGAAUCUGAUUAUAAUAGCGGAUGGGGAGCUUUCGUGAGCUGCAUUUAUCACGACCAAUGGGAAAACAAUAGAAAAUGGCAGAAGUGAUGGAUCUUUAACUCGGCCUCCUCUCUGCGCUCACUGGUUUGACAGAUAUCACUCAUUCGCCAACCUGCAGGCAGCCAAUUAAAUCGGUACACACAGACGCCCUCCCUCGACUGACCCAGCUACAGUUUGCAGGUGUGCGAGCGUGUCCUGUGUGAGUAACAUGCUGGUGGGGGGGAGGGAGGGAGGGAGGUGGGGAGGGGGCACCUGCAGAGUUUAGGCAGAGAAAGCACAACUGCAAGGACAAGUUCUCCAUCUCGCUCAGACAUUCAUCUGACACUCGAGAGUAAUAGAUGAAGGUUGCAGCCUUUUUGAAAGGGGAGGCUGGAGUUUUAUUUCACAGGAUGUUUUGUUUUCCCCGUAGAGGAUUUAUUUUGGCAGGGCUGUUACUCAGAACCGCUGCUCUUUCCUCCCUCCUCUCUUCCUCUCUAUCUGUCUCUGUCCUCUCUUCAUCUCCAUCCUUUAUUUCUCUCUGAGGUGCUGUCUCUUUCGUACAGCCUCCCCUCCGUUUGAUAAACUUUUGAGAUUUUGUAUAACAAAGCACACAAGAAACAGCAGCCAUGAGGAAAAAAAAGGGACAAUCACACUGUCAAGGUGCUUUGAAGAGCAGAGCACUACAGCAGCAGAUUAAUGUCCUCAUAAAGCCAGGGAGCAGAUUUUGAUGGAGGACUUUAUAGAUUAUGUAGGUGGACCACCUCCUUUGGGUGAUAUUUCUUUUCUCUUUUGUUCCACAUACAGUACUUGAGGGUGGAGCCGACACUCGGGGGUUGAAAGUGACAAUAAUCAGAUCAGGUACGCACUCAGUCAUGUAUAUGAAAAUGUCCGCCUGGUGCUGCACUGGUUCAAUGAUCAUUACCAAGAACAACAGAGCAGCUUUAGCAUCGUCCUUGUGACACUCACACACUGUCAAAGUUUUCACACGGCUCAACACUUCUGCUGACGAUCUUCUGCUCUAUUCAAGAAUGAUUGGCUCCCUAAAUACAUCGAAUCACUGCUUACUAUGAAAAUGUCCAUGAAGAAAACAGCAGCGCCUACCGAUGUGGCCAGCUAAUGAAAUGAGGGGAUGGAGCAGAUGGAGCGGUUGUCAAGGAGUGAUUGACCUUGAUUUCUCCCAGAGUUCCUUUUGUUUCCUUCUGCUUAGUGUUGAUAAGAGCAAGCGGGAAACCUGCGGCAUCGAAAGAUCUGUCGGAUCGACACUAUUGUCUCACCGCAAAUGUAAAAUAUUUCAGUAUUUUUGCCGGGCCGCCGCAUCUGUAUCUUUUUGAUGAUAAAAAUCGUGUGGAGUGAUAACUCAGAUGGUGUUUGCUUUAUAUUAAAUCAAAGCAAACAGCAGCCCGUGCUGAACAUUGACCACGUGCACAUUGAGAGUCUGUGGAAUACCUCGGCCCCUUAUGCUACAUAUAUUUUAUUCCUGGUGAGACUUUUUGAUGAAAUUCAAUUCGAUGGACCAAACAGCAGAAAAAAGAUGGACUUGAUGGAGGAGAGUUGAGUCUCGGCCAAUCAAGGCAGGGUAAGAAGACCCCCCUCCGGGCCUGGCAGCCCAAUCCAAUUUAUUGAUUUUCUGUCCUCUCCUUCGACAUCUGAAAUGCACAAUAACCAAUAGAUUAUGACAAACAUGGUCGCCAGAGACCUCCGAGCCUCUAAUUGAACUCGAUUGAGGACAUUUGAGGAUCAGAGGUUGGGAAAAAUCGGGCGACAUGGCAGAUUCUCCUCCUCCCAUGGACGCUGCUUCAAACUCCACAGAACAGGCCGGGGACUCAGCGGGAAAAAAUAACGUGUCUUCUGUCCAAGCAUCUCCUCUCUGUCUUCUCCAUGCCAGUGGACAGCUAGACUUUCCCCGCACCGCUGAGCACAAUGGAGUCAGUGCUUUACAAUAACAACCUCCUGCCAAAAGCACAAAAAAACAAGGCAGGAGAAAAGCUCAGUGCUCUAUUUUGAUGAAAGUAACAAGCACAGCUUGUUGUAAAUAGGCUUUCUGAAGCCUGAGGCAGCUUUUCUCCCCAGGGGAUGUGCUUUCUGCAUCUCUCCCAGGGUUGCUGUCGCCAAAAGGUUCUUUCGGUAAGGGAAAUAGCAGGCACAAACAAGAAGUUGCCUCAACUCUUCUGGCAAGAGGAAUUUAUCCCUCACUAUAGGGCACACUAGCUGGGAUUUACCAUCCAUUCAGAUUAGGAAAAAAAGAUGUUUGGGUUACAAUGCCCAAUGUGUAUGCACGUUGUUUUUAGCUGCAUUGUUAGGAUUACAGUCCAGGUGCACACAGAGAGGCAUUGUUAGCUGAGGGUGUCCAGUUGUUGAGCUACUGUCUGUCUGCGAGCUCUUCCUCCUGAUCCCCCGAUGACUCGGAUGUGUGCUUAUUCAAAUGGGUUUGGCUCCGGGCAGCCUCUUGCAAAUCACGUGCCAUCCGCGGUGGCAUUGUCACACAAAUUAGAAACGGAUGUUUUGGGCAGAGGUGCGGAGUCUGUGGACGUUAUUUUCUUUGACUCGUCGUAGUCUGUCUCCGUAUACGUUCACAGGGAGCUCAGGUCUCUCUCACCUCUUUCUCCCUUAAAGAGGACGUACCAGGUGAUUUCCUGCAACCAGCCACCCACAUUUAAGAAAGUAUUUUUGUUCUUUUAUUAAAUCUCCUCAAACCUCUUUCUUCAGUUACCUUGCUCCCCCAUGCCUAUAAGCCCCUCUGAUCCUUUCCAAUAAUAAUGGCAUUGCCAGCCAAUCUCACUGAAAAUGGGUUCAGCGCAUACCUAAUCCCAUUUAAUUACUUAGACACACAGGGCUCAGGACACACUCCUCAGGCGGCGCCCCCCCCCUCUGUAAGCAUGCCCUGUUUGCACCCCAUCCACCUCUCCUCAUGAAUUAUGGAUCCCUGGCUGCGAGGCGAGGGGGUGAUCAUUCCGCCUGCUCCGUCAUAAGGCUCAGGGAGAGCCUUAGCGCAGUGUAAAUAUGGCGCCUGUCUGGGGUUGAGGUGCCCUAUUGUGCGUGGUAUUAAAAGCUCACCACUCUCCCUCUCGGCCCCUCCACCGCCGCGGUGCUCGCAGCAGGGGGGGGCAGGGGUAAUCGCACAGGCCUUCCAGCACUCGGCUCAACUGCAGCCGGGCUCACACUGACCGGCAUUAUGGCUGACAGUCAUCAUACCUGAGAGGCGGGGAGAAAUGAAAAGGAGAUGGGAACUGAAAACUGGAGAAUUGGGUUGAAUCGGCCGGCUCUUGCUGUAGAUUUGUCAGCACAAAUGCCGGUUUUCACAGAGAGAAAAUAUCAACAACAUUCAUUCGGAUCCGAUGUCGUAGUCUGCCCCGACCCUGGUGCUCUGGGUGAUGUAGAGGCGCCAUGACUCGAACAGACAAUCCCUGUAUGAUAAGGGUUCUCGUGGGUGUUUCCUGUUUUAACAGAGAUAUCCGAAUGCUAUCGGAACACUCUAGAGUUGCAGCCACGGCGUUCGCAGCGGAGUGCAGCAGAGAAGAACACUGGAUAAAUCAUGUUGUCCACUCGUGGGCACAAGCUGACAGGAUCCGACCUCUCCUCUCGCAGCCUGCAAUCAGAUGCGUAUACUGCAUACUGCUUCAUUCCCUUUUGACACAAGAAAAGAGAAGAAGAAGAAGAAGAAGGAAGAAAAGAAAAGAAAAGUUGACAAGAGCCUUGAUCGGGAUCGUCUACAUUCACAGAAAUGUCUAAAUAAAACACAAGAUGGCUACCUAAGGACACUAUAAUUGGCAAUGUCACAGUUCUCCCCUUGCCCCAGGAAAUAAAAGAAAGAUGAUGUCUGUGUCAGCUCAGAGAUAGUUCGAUGCUGUCUGUCAGGCCCUGAGCACAUUUCCCUGAGCUUGAUACAGACAGGGCUUGUCUCGCUGCCCUCAGCAGCAGACAGACGUCUCGUCUUUAUCUCUCCAGAUUUCUACCUAAUCUGUUUCUCUCCCCUUGGCCUCUCUUCAUGAAUCUGUCAUAAAUCAUUUUGGGAUUCUGGCCCCGUUUGCACAGGCGUUUUCAUAAAGGGAGAGGAAUGGGCAUCAGAUAUCCAGACUAAAUAGCGAUCAAAUUACACAGGAUAUGAAAUGCUGUAGUUUGGAAUCCAUUAUAGUUCUGAAUAAGAGUCUUCUCACUGUAAUAUGUCAGCUCUGGCCCUGAAGGGACAAAAGCACAGAUGGUACUGUAUAUGUGCAAUAUGCAUAUGACUGAACAGCCUAAUAACUAUGGUUGACAGCUAAAUGAACAACAUACAAGCUGAGCGCACACAACUGGUUCUAAAUAGAAGCCUGCCUCAGUAUUUGCUCCAUCUAUAUUCAAAGUUGCCCAGUUUCAACACAUUACAUAUGGUAUGUUAUACAAAAUAACUAAAAACACAAGUUCUCUUAUCCACAGAUGAGCGUUCAUUUUACGCCCGGCCUUGUUUACUGGUAACAUUGAUUCUGCAGGUUAAUUACAAUGUUUUUUUUUUGUUGUUUUGUCAUUUUAGAGAUCAUAUGAAAACACAAAAUUACCUUUAAUAACAAACUAAAGUGAUGAUCGCACUAAAUGGACUGGCCUGAUCUGCCUCAAUCUUACUUUUUUUUUAAAAAGGCUCUUCAUUUUGACAAGCACCAUUGAAAAUUUCUGUCUCCAUAGUAACGCCAGACUCAUUACAUUUAAUCCACUAAUUACUAACUAGCUCCACAAUUGCUUGUAAUUGCUUUGGGGACACAGUUAACCCAUUGGUUGGUAUCUAGACCGAGGCUACUUCUGCCUUUGUCGGAAAAAGGCCAGAAAUGAAAGAUUGUGCACUGGAAACUCCACCAACAAAAUCCAAUAACCCC